rnacentral:tRNA from 1 species
AGGCGCGUAGCUCAGCUGGUUAGAGCGCACGACUGAUAAUCGUGAGGUCGGCAGUUCAAAUCUGCCCGUGCCUACCA